UUUGGCUGAGGGAAUUGCUUGCUCCUCAGAGACUCUUUCUUUCUCUUUUCUUCCUUCCUUCCUUCCUCUCUCUCUUUCUCCCUUUCUCCCUUUUUUUGAGACUGAGUUUCGCUCUUGUUGCCCAGGCUAGAGUGCAAUUGCACGAUCUAGGCUCACCGCAACCUCUGCCUCCCGGGUUCAAGCGAUUCUCUUGCCUCAGCCUUCCUGAGUAGCUGGGAUUACAGGUGCCCGCCACCACGCCCGGCUAAUUUUUUGUAGCACUAAUUCAUUUCCCCCAGAACCGAUCCAGUCUCAUGAGAGCAAGAACUCACUACUGUGAGAACAGCACCAAGCCAUUCAUGCGGGUUCCACCUCCAUGACCCAAACCCCUCCUGGUAGGCUGCAUGCCCCAGCACCACCACAGUAAGGAUUAAAUUUCAGCAUGAGAUUUGGUGUGGACAAACAAACCAUAUCCAAACCGUAGCAGUGGAAUAGCUGGAUCAUAUGACAGCUCCAUAUUUUCCUUUUUGAGAAUCAUCAGACUGGUUUCCAAAGUAGCUACACUGUUUUACAUUUGCACCGGCAGUGAAAAGUUUCCAGUUUUUCCAUAUCCUUGCCAAUACUUGUUAUUGUUUUUGUUUGUUUUUAAAUAUUGAACAUACUAGUGAGUGUAAAGUGGUAUCUCACUGUGGUUUUGAUCAGCAUUUCCCUAAUACCUAAUGAUAUUGAUCAUCAUUUCAUGUGCUCAUUCGCCAUUUGUAUGACUUCUUUGGGGAAAUAUCUAUUCAGAACUCCUACGGGGUGAAUGUAGUGUCCCCUCAAAAUUCGUAUGUUGAUGCCUUAUCCCCACUGUGAUGGUAUUUGGAGAUGAGGCCUGUGGGAGGUAAUUAGGUCACGAAGGUAGAACCUUUUUGAAUGAAAUCAGUGCUCUUAUAAGAGGAGACAGGAGAGCUCUCAGGAGCUCCUGCUUCCUGCUGUACCCUGUGAAGGCACACUGAGAAGGUGGCCAUCUGCAAACCAGGAAGAGGACCCUCACCAGAACCAAUCAUGCUGACACAUUGAUUUUGGAUUUCCUAGCCUCCAGAACUGUGAGAAAUAGAUUUCUGUUGUUUAAGCCACCCAGUCUAUUUGUUGUAGCAGCCGAGACUAAGACAAGUUCCUUCGCCCAUUUCUAAAAAUUGGGUUUUUGUCUUUUUAUUAUUGAAUUGUAAGAGUUUUCUAUAUUCUGGAUACACAUAAUAUAAAUAUUUUCUCCCAUUUGGUGGGUUGUGUUUUCACUUUGUUGGUGGUGUUUAAGUUUUAUUUCAACAAAGGAAGUAUCUGUUAUGGAUGAAAUGGACAUUCCUUUUGUUCCUCAAGGCGAGUUAGCCUCCCUACCCCCAAGAGAGACGUAAUCACAGCCUUGGUUGGUGUCUUGCCAAGGCAUCGUUAUAUUUUUAUUUCUAAGAGAAUAUUUUGUGUGUCUGAAAAAAUUCCAUAAAUGAUAUCACCCUGUAUAUGUCUGAUUUAUCUCAUCUUUUAUUUUCUUUUUUUCUUUUUUCUUUUUUUUAAAUUUUGAGACAGUCUUGCUCUGUCUCCUCCGCCUCCUAGGUUUAAGCGAUUCUUGUGCCUCAGCCUCCCGAGUAGCUGGGAUUACAGACGUGCACAACCAUGCCUAGCUAAUUUUUGUAUAUUUACUGGAGAUGGGGUUUAGCCAUGUCUGCCAGGCUGUUCUCAAACUCCUGGCCUCAUGUGAUCAGCCUGCCUCAGCCUCCCAAAGUGCUGGGAUUACAGGUGUGAGCCACCGCACCCGGCCUAUUUUAUUUCUUUUAACUGUACAUGUGCAUCUUCCCUUCACAAACCUGCAGGGAGGUGCUUUCAAGUCCCUUGUUUUCACAGGAUGGCCACAGACCAUGCCAGGCCCCAGUCUAUCCAGAAGGUUCAGAACAGGAAACAUGUCAUGCGGCAGGGCAGCUUCAGGAG
rnacentral:lncRNA from 1 species